rnacentral:lncRNA from 1 species
GGUGCUGUUGGGCAUGCAAGAUUCGUCCAUUAAUGAGCUGCUGAAGCAGGUGCUAUUUUCGUGAACAACAAAGGGUUGUUGGUUGGUUUUUCCAAGUAGCCAUUCGGCCAACAUCAUGCUUGGUGUUUCCUCUCUUCAAGGCCGAACUUUACACUACCCAAAGAAGCUUUUAAAGCCAUUUUAAAGUAUCAAGGCCGAAUCGGGACUAGUCCAUAAAGUUCUCC